rnacentral:tRNA from 2 species
GGUCCCUUAACUCAGUUGGUUAGAGUGUUGUACUAAUAAUGCAAAAGUCGAGAGUUCGACCCUCUCAGGGACCA